rnacentral:rRNA from 1 species
GUUUGAUCCUGGCUCAGGUCAGACGCUGGCGGGAUGCUUUACAUGCAAGUCGAACGGCAGCACGGACUUCGGUCUGGUGGCGAGUGGCGAACGGGUGGUAAUGUAUCGGAACGUGCCUAGUAGCCAGGGAUAACUACGCGAAAGCGUAGCUAAUACCGCAUACGCCCUUCGGGGAAAGCGGGGGACCUUCGGGCCUCGCACUAUUAGGCAGCCCGAUAUCGGAUUGAAAGCUAGUUGGUGGAGUAACGGCUCACCAAGGCGACGAUCCGUAGCUGGUUUGAGAGGACGACCAGCCACACUGGGACUGAGACACACGGCCAGACUCCUACAGGAAGCAGCAGUGGGGUUUUUGGACAAUGGAAACCACAGUCCAGCCAUCCCGCGUGUGCGAUGAGGCCUUCGGGUUGUAAAGCACUUUUGGCAGGAAAGAAACGGCACGGGAUAAUACCCGUGCAACUGACAGUACCUGCAGAAUAAGCACCGGCUAACUACGUGCCAGCAGCCGCGGUAAUACGUAGGGUGCAAGCGUUAAUCGGAAUUACUGGGCGUAAAGCGUGCGCGAGCGGUUCGGAAAGAAAAGAUCGCGAAAUGCUCAGCAGUAUCCCAGAGCUUAACUUUGGAACUGCGUUUUUAACUACCGAGCUGAGUGUGUCAGAGGGAGGUGAUGGAAUUCCGCGUGUAGCAGUGAAAUGCGUAGAUAUGCGGAGGAACACCGAUGGCGAAGGCAGCCUCCUGGGAUAACGACGCUCAUGCAAGCGUGCAGGAGGCAAACAGGAUUAGAUACCCUGGUAGUCCACGCCUAAACGAUGUCCAACUAGCUGUUGGGCCUUCGGGCCUUGAAAUCAGCGCAAUAACGCGUGAAGUUGACCGCCUGGGAGGUACGGUCGCAAGAUUAAAACUCAAAGGAAUUGACGGGGACCCGCACAAGCGGUGGAUGAUGUGGAUUAAUUCGCAACGCAACCUACCCUUGACAUGUCUGGAAUCCCGAAGAGAUUUGGGAGUGCUCGCAAAGAGAACCGGAACACAGGUGCUGCAUGGCUGUCGUCCGUCGUGUCGUGAGAUGUUGGGUUAAGUCCCGCAACGAGCGCAACCCUUGUCAUUAGUUGCUACGAAAGGGCACUCUAAUGAGACUGCCGGUGACAAACCGGAGGAAGGUGGGGAUGACGUCAAGUCCUCAUGGCCCUUAUGGGUAGGGCUUCACACGUCAUACAAUGGUCACUGGGACAGAGGGUCGCCAACCCGCGAGGGGAGCCAAUCCCAGAAACCCGAUCGUAGUCCGGAUCACCGGUCUGCAACUCGACUGCGUGAAGUCCGGAAUCGCUAGUAAUCGCGGAUCAGCAUGUCGCGGUGAAUACGUUCAGGUCUUGUACACACCGCCCCGUCACACCAUGGGAGUGGGUUUACCACAAGUAGUUAGCCUAACCGUAAGGAGGGCGAUUACCACGGUAGGAUUCAUGACUGGGGUGAAGUCGUAACAAAGGUAG